CCUACGGGUGGCAGCAGUGGGGAAUAUUGCGCAAUGGGGGCAACCCUGACGCAGCAACGCCGCGUGAUUGAAGAAGGCCUUCGGGUUGUAAACCUCUGUCAGUGGGGACGAUAAUGACGGUACCCACGGAGGAAGCCACGGCUAACUACGUGCCAGCAGCCGCGGUAAUACGUAGGUGGCAAGCGUUGUCCGGAAUUACUGGGUGUAAAGGGAGCGUAGGCGGGAUGUCAAGUCAGAAGUGAAAAUUAUGGGCUCAACUCAUAACCUGCUUUUGAAACUGAUAUUCUUGAGUGAAGUAGAGGCAAGCGGAAUUCCUAGUGUAGCGGUGAAAUGCGUAGAUAUUAGGAGGAACACCAGUGGCGAAGGCGGCUUGCUGGGCUUUUACUGACGCUGAGGCUCGAAAGCGUGGGGAGCAAACAGGAUUAGAUACUCGUGUAGUC
rnacentral:rRNA from 1 species